UUUCUCUCUCAUUGGGAGUUAUAGUGGGAGGCCAAGAAGCACUCUGGCGUGUGUGAAAUGGUAACUUCUAGUCUGACCUUGGCAGCUGUAAAUCUCAGAGCUGAUUCUAAAGAGAUGGGAACAAUGAGGAUAAUUGCUCUGUAACUCCGAGAGCCUCGGUGGGGAUGGAGGUGAAAUGUCCUGUGAUGUGUGAAGAUCUCAGUUACACCUCAGAUCAAAGGCAAGGGAAGAGGGAAUGCAUAGAAUAAGCGAUCCCUGCAGUGACAGCACACCAGCUUUCUUUUGGAAGCUUCCUCCUAUGGAGUGACCUUUCCUUUUCAUCCACAGUCCUGGCUCCCGACCUGAUUCUGUACUCCACGGAACCUCCUGUUCCACUGCCAACAGAGGCUCAAGGACUCAGAGUGGAUGUAACCCAUUGCUGUCCAUCCUGAUGGAAGACCUGCCACGCUCCAGGAUGCUUCCAGGUACCGUGUCAUUAGCUACAAAUUAAGCUUUGCAAUGCUGCUGGCAGCAUGGAUCCCAUCC
rnacentral:lncRNA from 1 species